UUGUGUAGUAUAAGAAGAGAUGGCACUACAAAAAAGGUUGGUUUAAAGUUGUUUAUAAUUACAUUAAAAAAUGUAUUAUUCCUAUUGUUACUAUAGGAAGAGUACUGAAAGAGAUCAAACAAGUGCUGCGUAUUUGACCAAAUAAUAACAAUAUGAAUUGGUUCAAUUACAUACCAGACAGCAGCAGCAUCAACAAAAUCUGUGCACUUGUUGCCAUUAGUAACAGAACGGUUGCUGUGGACACAUAUGAUUCUGAUUCUUACUACCCUUCCAUUAUUAUGUGAAAAACGCUCCCUCCGCAGGGCAGAAAGUGGUAGUACAUCAGAGUCUGGAGAUGUCAAGCAUAACACAGGUGCAAGCUUGUUUAAUUCUGGCUUUUGCAAUUUCUGUUGAAGAAUUAACCUUUUUUUUUUUU